AGCCACUGUGUGCAGUUGGGGCAAUUAGGGAUGCAUCCUUUCCAAAAGCAUCUGCUCUAGAAGAUUUUAACAUCUGAGUAAAAGAGCCCUUUGGCUUCUCAGAAAAGCAGAGAACUGGAGCCAUGAGCCAGCAAGCCUUCCAGGUCAGCUGUGGGCAGGAAACACACCCAGACAGCUGGACAAUAUGAUGUGUCCAAGAGCAUGCAAGCCCAGGCAAACGUGCUCUCAGGCAGGACGAAUUCUGGGCAGUCAGACUAGGUGACACACGGGUUUUUCUAAUUCAAAUGGAAUGUGGUGCUUCUACCUUUCCCUAAGGAGACAAAGGGCAGGUUUUCAUCUGGUCUUUCUACGCAUUCAGUGUUCUUGCUGGAGUGUUCUGUGAUGAGUUAUGUCUGCCACUCCACCUGGUCAGCGAUCACUUCAAGAAUUCAAAACUUCUAGAGCUGUUUGUAUUGACCCCCUCUGGUCUGUGCUUAACUUGGAAGUCACUUCCUCUCCAUCCUCUUUUCUGUCAACACAUUCUACAACUCUGUACUCUGUAAAUGCCAGCUCCUUCAGCCACAGCCUUUGAAAUGUUCUCUCAAGCUAGAAUGCUUUGCUUUCCCCCAAUUCAUAUUCCUUCACUUUAUUCACUUAUAAUUAUCCUCAGAUUAGAGCUUAUCUUUUGGGAGAAUCUUCUCCAGAUCCUCAUAGCAGCAUUUACCUUACUGUUGAGCAGUUAGUUGAUAUGCAUCUUCCUUAUUAGAUUAUAAACUCCAUAAGGUCAGGAAGUAAAUUUGCUUGUGUUCAGUACCCUAUACCUACCAUCUAGCAUAACUCCAGGCAAUUAGUAGACACUGAAAUCCUACUUAACACUGGACAAGACUUUUUUAUUUGUGAUUGAGUCAUCAGGACAAACUAACCUAGGAAUAUUAAUAGGAUGACAUUUCUAUGUUUACUAA